UUAACAUCUAUUCCUCAUGGGAAUGUUUUAAGAAAAACUAAGCUGCAUGAGUGUCAGUUACUCUAUGAAGGACAAAAUCUGCUAAGAUUGCGAAGGUCAAAGAAGACACGGCCCCAUAAAGGGAAAAAGUGGAGAACUUUGCUGAGGAGCCAGAGACCAGCGGGCAGCUGACUACGCUGGAUGUGGAGCUGCAGCCACUGGCAGGAGAAGUCAAUGUCUCGCCCCCCUGCCGGAUGAUGCCCAGACCUGACCCAUCAUCCAUGUCAUCUCUACUGCCAUUCAUACUCGUUGAGCAAUUGGCUAGAAACCUUCCCAGCCCUCCUGCUAUUUGCCCCAGAUGCUUCAAUCUGGCAAUGCUGAGCUCUUUCUAUUCAGGCAGUGAAGUGGGAGCAAUCUCUUUCCUCAUCUCAAUCUUUAUAGAUCUAGGGCAGAAACGGGUAGUUUCCGUCUUGCAUUUCACAGCUUGGGAACUAUACUAGGCAACCUGGCCCUUGAGACAAACAGUCUUGAUUCUUCCUCCCCGGGGCAAUUGAUGUUAUUAACCCCUUUGAACUUCAAAUCCCUUCUCUGUAAAAUGACAAUAAUAAUACCUAACUCAAAAAGUUGUUUGGAUUAAAUGAAAGACAAUUACUGCAGAACAUCCGGCCCAGUGCGGCCUCACUGUCUAUUUACAAUGAAUGCUGCCAAUAUUAUUGAGGUUCUUGUUUGAAUUUUUAACUACCAAUUCACUAAAAAUCAAUUCGUGAAAUAAACACUUCGUGGAAUGACUAAAAUUUACAAACUGCAGUUUUUAGCAAUUUUAAUAAAAAUAUUUUAUUUUUGAUUACAUGUAAUCAAAUAAAUUCUUUUGUAUGUUCUUUUGUAUGUUGGCUUAACUAAGCUUGAUUGGUUACCUGAUAAAAUAAUUCUAAUCAAAUGCUAAAAUGAUGGUAAAUCAUAAGUUCAGUGAAAAUGGCAAUAUGAACUGCUUUUUCCAUCCUAAAUUUUGGCGUUCAGUAUGUGACUUUUGAUCUUUUCAGAUGCUUUGUAUGAAAUUAUUUUUUCCAAAUUUAAGCACAUUUAGAAUUAUUUUACCAAUUCCCCAAAUGGCAUGUCAGCCUUAAUUUACAUUUUUAGCAAGUGAUUUUUA
rnacentral:lncRNA from 1 species